UGCGUAGGUGGUAAGGCAAGUCAGGUGUGAAAUCUCCGGGCUCAACCCGGAAAUGGCAUUCGAAACUACCUUGCUAGAGGGUUUGAGGGGGGACUGGAAUACUUGGUGUAGCAGUGAAAUGCGUAGAUAUCAAGUGGAACACCAGUGGCGAAGGCGAGUCCCUGGAAAACUCCUGACACUGAGGCACGAAAGCUAGGGGAGCAAACA
rnacentral:rRNA from 1 species